rnacentral:tRNA from 1 species
GGAGGGGUCGGAUAGUGGUUUAUUCCAUCGGUUUUGAAAACCGACGUCCGCAAGGACUCGUGAGUUCGAAUCUCACCCCCUCCG